AGUUAGCAAGUUGGUUGACCCCUAGAGUGCCUAAGUUAACUGCUAGGAGGCUAAGUCUCUACAAGAGCCAAGUGUGUAAGGCAGCAAUAGAGGGCAGAUAGGGGCCAAGUCAGGGGUCCUUAGAUAUGUAAGAUCGUGAUGAUUAGCUAGGGAGAACUCAGUAUAUAGCUGGCUUCUCAAAACACCCAAGAGAGAGCAGUUGUUCAAAGAAAUCAGUUGGGAGAAAGAGAGGUCAGGAAUUGAAGAGAAAAGGGAAGAAAACUAAACUAAAACCUUCUAUCCCACUCCUUCCUUGCUCAGCCUCACCCGCCCUCCUAUAGCAAAUUCCAGUCUAUUCGGGUAUAAGCAAGUGUAAAGUAAUUAAUUUGCUUUUCGUUUUCUCGUUUUGAUUAGCUAUGAAUGUAAAUGUUAAGCAAAAUGAGUUGGGUUAGUUUUAAAAUAAUAAUAGUGAGUAUAUGGGCCGACUCUAGUUAUGAUUAAUUAACUGAAUUAUUCCAUGAUCAAAAGAAGGGGAUUUCAAAAGAAUUGAAUUCGAACAAGAAUGGAUAAACUAGUUAGUUUACUAAUUAUUUGAUUUUGUUUAACUUUGAUUAUGUAUUUGACUGCUAUGUGGCUGGGUUAGAGUAAGGAGAUAGGUUAGUUGUGUGGAGGAAUAAGGAGGCUAAAAUGGGAUUGUAGAACAAAUCAAUAGUUAUGAAAAGGGUGUCGGAAAACUGAGCACAUAAGGUGCUUGUUAAAAUGCUCCAAGUAACUGUUUUGAUUAAAAACCUAAAAUUUGAUGGAACUAAAGCUUGAGUUAUGUAUAUACACCUUGUACGUGGAUAAGUAAAGUGUUGUAACAUAUUAAAUGGAACAAAGGGCAAUUUUAAAGCUAAAACUAAAAAUGGGAUUUUUGGUAGGUCAAGCUAUUUUGGCAAACUGUUUUGGGCAAUUUAAUGAAUUUUAUUCGGAGGUCUAAUGUUUUCUUUUAGUUGGCUGAUAUGGCAGCUACACCAUACCAAAAGUUGGGCCUAAAUAUUAAAAAAAAUAUAGUAAAUGGAUGGCUGAGUUGUGUAGGAGCUGUUAAGGCUGCUGCAGGCAGCAGCAGCCAGCGCCCAGCGCUGUGCUGCGUUGCGCUGCAGAGCCAAGCAAGCAGUUUUGGUUCCUACAUGCUAUAUAGUUGCUGCAGUUUUUGUUUGGGUAAGUAUAAUAUGCGAGUAUAUUAACUACUAUGAUCAAAUUCCUUUGCUAAUAAAUUAAUGCAUUAGAAGUUAAUGUGUUGCAGGAGGAGGGGGGGUCGAGGACUGCUGCAGCUAAGUAUCCUUGUUGGUUUUCUAGUUUAGCAAUUGCUUUAAGUUUCUUGUAAACUAAAUUAAUAAAUAAAGAUUUAGUAAAGCAUGUGCUUGGUUUAUUUAACAUAUGUGAUAACAAUUAAAGUGUUUUAGCAUGUUAAACUUAAACAAAGUGUACUCUAGAUGAGAUUUUAACCUGUUAAGGCAAUUGUGGGUACCGUUUGGGCAGUGUAUUAUGACUAAAAUAGAGGAG
rnacentral:lncRNA from 1 species